rnacentral:tRNA from 2 species
GGUGGUAUCGUCUAAGGGCUAGGACACAUGCCUCUCACGCAUGCAAUCAGAGUUCGAAUCUCUGUACCACUA